UGGGAAGAACAGUUAGAAUAGGAAAUGAUUUUAGUUCGACGGUACCAUUCCAGAAAGGGAGGGCUAAAUAUGUGCCAGCAGCCGCGGUAAUACGUAUGUCCCGAGCGUUCUCCGGAUUUAUUGGGCGUAAAGCGAUGCGCAGACGGGUUUAUUAAGUCUGAUGUGAAAGCCCGGAGCUCAACUCCGGAAUGGCAUUGGAAACUGGUAAC
rnacentral:rRNA from 1 species